rnacentral:rRNA from 1 species
UACGAAGGGGGCUAGCGUUGCUCGGAAUCACUGGGCGUAAAGCGCUUGUAGGCGGUCCACCAAGUUUGGGGUGACAGUUGCCGACUUAAUCGGCAAAGUGCCUCAAAGACUGGCGGACUUGAGGGCCACAGAGGGACAUGGAACUCCAGGUGUAGUGGUGAAAUGCGUAGAUAUCUGGAAGAACACCAAAGGCGAAGGCAGUGUCCUGGGUGGUCGCUGACGCUGAGAGGCGAAAGCCAGGGGAGCGAACGGG